rnacentral:misc_RNA from 1 species
GUUGUUUUUCGUGUGGUUGGUGAGACUGGCAACGAGGUGGCGGCCCUGACAGCUUGUUGAGUGGAUAAACGCAGUCAGUUGUUAGUGAACAGUCAGGAGGGAAGGACACGGACGGCUCCCGCUCUCCGGCCAUGGACAUCCUACACCAGCACUGUUUAGCUGAAGAAGACGAGGUUAGUGAUGCGGGCUUAGAGAACUUGUGGGAGAUUGAACACCAUAUCAAACUCCCUCCUCAAUCUCCAACACGGCCGCCCUUCUCCACCACCAAUACUGAGAAUUACAAGAGAAAAAAGAGCCGAGGACAUGCUGGCGACCCACCGUCUGGGUGUGUGGCCAUGAUGGACCCGCGUACUGACUCACUGUGCUCCACUACCCCUCUCCACCCCUCACAGCUCCUCCUCGCCUCCCGCCUCCUGCCUCCUCAGGCUGAACCCGGUACCCGCUACCCACGACAAUACGUGACUGAGUCCGGAGCCCGUCACUCGCGUCGACACGUUUCUGAGUCUAAUAUCCAUGACUUGCGACAACACAUGGCUGGGUCCGGAACGCGCGACUCGCGACGCCAUGCAGUUGAGUCCGAAACCCUUGAAUCGAGUCGACACAUGGCGGAGUCCGGUACCCGUAACUCGCGACGCCACUGGGUGAAGUCCGGUACCCGGGACUCGCUAAGAAACGUAGAGGAGUUCGGUAUCCGCGACUCGACAAAACACGCGGCUGAGCUCAACACUCACGACUCACGUCAACACAUGGCCGAGUCUGGUACCCCGGAGCUGGUGUGUGGCGUCACUGAGGCCCGGGCCGGAGGUGUCAAGCCCCAGAGAGAGAGCAGACGCCCACCUGUCCGCCGCCCACACCACCCACCACCAGUCAGGAAGGACCUGAUUGGACCCCCCACCGACUUCCAACACGUUACUCAUGUUGGGUUUGAUAACGUGUGCCCAGACGACACACAGGAAGGUGAGCCUGAUGGUCAGGCCAAGGUGUCCAUCUUGGAAGAGCAGAAAGUACUGGACUCCAGAACCCUGGACUUGUAUCAUUCACGUAAUAAUUGCGGAGACGAGCAGAACCACUGCUGGACCGAUGGUGACACAGAACGCCAGGAGUUAGAGCGAGAAAACCAGCACUGGUCCAGACCCGACAGUGAUCAGCAGAAGGACCAGCGUUGGUCCAGACCCAGUGAUGGUAAAGAUCAACAGGAAGUCCAGUGGGAGAACCAGCCCUGGUUCAAACCCGACAGUAACCAACAGAAGAACCAGCGCUGGUUCCGAACCAGAGGUGGCAAAGAUCAACAGGAGGUUCAGUGGGAGGAGCAGCGCUGGUCCAAACUCGACACUGUAGACGACGCCACCGCACCACUUCCUCCGCCCCGUACAGUGAUCAGUAAGGACAUGAUCGGCCCACCCACAGACUUCCAGCACGUGCUCCAUGUUGGUCCAAACGCAGACGACCUGGAACUCCAGCAGCUGAUGAAGAUGGCAAAUCUUAAGCAGGGAAGAGGGUCCACUGGAAGAACUCCAGAGAGCAUGGAGUGUCUGGGAGAGUUUGAGUACGUGCUGCCCCGACCUGAACCCUCCACACGCAUCCCCACCCCGCCACCACCCAGCAGAGUGCGGGUCCAGGAGCCGCCCCGGGACCCCCAGGUGGCUGGCAGUGAGGGCCGGACACUCUGGCUGCGCAACACGCGUCCACCAGAGAAACAUACACCGGAGUCACAAGAAUAUCCGCCAGGCGUACCGGAAGAAGGCAGAGAGACAGAGAUGUCUUCGGGCCAACAGGCGGGCACCUCUCCAACACUGUGCCGUCCCAAGCCCCGUUCAGGACCUCUCAACGGUGGAGUGAAGAAGGACUUGAUUGGGCCGCCUACCAAUUUCCAGCAUGUGGUUCACGUUGGGUUCCAGUCCUGGCGGCAGGGCAGCGAGGAGCAGCAGCAGCAGCAGCAGCAGGAGCCACCCAUAACAGUCAAAGUGGAGGACCAGUACAGGCCUGACCUCGAGACUCAUGGUGGGAUAAGUGACUUUGUGGACAGUGAGGGGAAGGAACAGCAGCAGCAGGAGCAUCAACCAAAGCAGCAGCAGGAGCAAGAGGCCCAGUGGGAACACCAUCUGUGGUCGACAGCCAGCACUGCCAGCGACUCCCCGCCGCCCCUCCCUCCACCAACAGCUGAGCUCAGUAAAGACAUGACUGAUCCACCCACAACCUCCCUACCUUCCUCUCACCCGCGUCGCGACGCUGUCGGCCAGAAGCUGCAGCGCUUAAGGAAGACGCAGGCUCCAAGGACUCGAAAAUCUGUGCCGGACUUGUUUGAGCGCCGUGAUGCACAGAGGGACGUGAUGGACCUUCCCCAGCAGGACGGGAGACUGCGGGGUAAAGCUGGUGCCGGGAGGACGCGCGCGCCCUCGCCCAGGCUGAGGAAGGACAUGAUCGGUCCGCCCACCAAUUUCCAGCAUGUGAAACAUGUCGGGUUCAACAGCCCAGUGGUCGAGGUCACUGAUGACCACUUCAACGACCCAUCUAGAGCGGACAAGCCAGAACCGGAUGUGGAGAGCCGGAUACAGGACAUUGGCGGAGACCAAGAGGAAGGGCAGUGGGAGAACCAGCACUGGUUCACUAACUGGGGCCAGCAGGAGGUCCCGUGGCAGAACCAGCGAUGGUCCACCUCUGACUGGGUCCUGGAGGAGGCCCAGUGGCAGAACCAGCGCUGGUCCACACCUCGCACCAUGGAGGACGCCUUUCCUCGCACCCCACCACUUUCUUUUGGACUCAGCAAGGACAUGAUCGGUCCACCCACCAAUUUCCAGCACAUCUGUCACCUCGACCGGGACACCGUCCACCGCCAACUCUCCAAAAGCCCAACAAAGGAAGGAGAUGGCAGGACGAACACAGGGGACCCCAGCCAGAGCCAACAACAACAUGACCCCGCCCAGCCCGCUAAGGUCAGAUGAUCGUCGGGCCGCCCACCAACUUCCAGCACGUCGCUCAUGUUGGUAUCAACACUUCCUGGCAGGCUACCGACCACCACCUUCACCAGUAGUGCAACAGUAUGCAAGCGACUUCAGUCUUAUCAAUAGUACAAAUCAAGAAAGGAUGGCACGAGGCUAGCAGACUGCCUGGGUGACUGAUGCCCCGUGUGUUCCCCUGCAGGAGCGGCCCUGGACGACAGAACCAGCUCGUCUCGGAAUGCCCGGGAUAGUGAUAGAUCGAUCCAACUCGUCCUAGUAUCAUUGAAUAUUCGGGAGGUUAACCAAGCUCGUCUCGGGAGGGCAGUAAAAUGUAUAUAUCAAUCCAGUUCAUCCGGGUGGCACUGGAUGGCUUGGGAAUCGACGCAGUUCGUCCCAACAGCACUACAAUAUUCGAUUGAUCCGGAGUAAAUGUAUAGGAGAGGGACCCAGUUUUGCCUGGUGGCACUGGUAAGCAGUGAUCAGAACUCAAAGCUUCCCAUUCUCAUCUUUGAUCAGCACUCAAAGCUUUCCACUCUCACCUUGGCAGAGCGCUGUCUUGGGGCACAGCGACCCCUCCAGGUAGCGGAGCUGAGGAAAUGGAAUAUCAUCCCCCUCCCGGAAAUGGCUCUUGGGGGACCGGACCCUCAUUCCAAGUUACUUCCCAGUAAUAUAACUGUUAUUUAGCGCGUGACUUCCAUAAUGAUCCAGAGACUCCCGUGUCUAAAGGAAACUGGCUAUUAGAGCCUAAUCAUAUGAAAUUGAAAUAUAAUAAAUGCCUUUUGAUAUAUAAUGUAUUUAUACAUUCAGAUUAUUAGUGCAUGUGUAUAAAAUGUUUAUAAAUUGAA